rnacentral:rRNA from 1 species
AUUGAACGCUGGCGGCAUGCCUUACACAUGCAAGUCGAACGGUAACAGGUCUUCGGAUGCUGACGAGUGGCGAACGGGUGAGUAAUACAUCGGAACGUGCCCGAUCGUGGGGGAUAACGAAGCGAAAGCUUUGCUAAUACUGCAUAAGAUCUACGGAUGAAAGCAGGGGACCGCAAGGCCUUGCGCGAACGGAGCGGCCGAUGGCAGAUUAGGUAGUUGGUGGGAUAAAGGCUUACGAAGCCGACGAUCUGUAGCUGGUCUGAGAGGACGACCGGCCAGACUGGGACUGAGACACGGCCCAGACUCCUACGGGAGGGAGCAGUGGGGAAUUUUGGGCAAUGGGCGAAAGCCUUAUCCAUCCAUGCCGCGUGCAGGAUGUAGGCCUUCGGGUUGUAAACUGCUUUUGUACGGAACGAAGAGACUCUGGUUAAUACCUGGGGUCCAUGACGGUACCGGAAGAAUAAGGACCGGCUAACUACGUGCCAGCCGCCGCCGUAAUAC